rnacentral:lncRNA from 1 species
UAGAUGUACUAUUAAGAGUUAACAGUUUAAACUCUAAGUCAUCUCGGCAUCAAGGAUCAAAGGGAUGAAUUAUAUAGUAACUAUAUCCAAAUAGGUUCUUGAGUAUUAUUUUGCAUACAUUCAGCCUAUCCAGACGUCGGAUAUCAUUGCUAGAUGGUUACUCCGAUUGGUACAAGAAUCAAUUUCUGUGCUACUGGCUUAGGUUUGAAUCUAUGGGGUCACACAUAUUAGAAGCUUCUCUCCAAUCACAUGGCUAAUUUGAAGAGUCUCAAUGAACAAAAAUCCUAGUGAAGAGUCCCACUAGACGAAAACUCUAGAGAAGAGUCCCACUAGACUUAGACUCUAUCAUUAAUAUAGGAUUAAUUAGUGAUUAGAUCAUUAAUUAGCUCAAUUUGAUUGAACAUUAAAGUCUGGAUCAAGUUUGAUUGAAUUGGAUUCAAUCAGGUC